rnacentral:lncRNA from 1 species
UGCCCCCACCUUUUCUCCAUGCAAAAAAUGUUCUCAUAUGAAUUUUUUUUCUCAUGCCCAAAAGUAAAUAUCACCCACAUUCUGAUCCCCUUUGGAUUAGGAUUUGGUUGGUUUAAAUUUUAAGUUCAAAUGGUUUGAAUUUAGAUUUAAACCUGGAGUCCAAAUCGAGUUAGACUCUUUCCUAAACGCCGACUACUCUUCUCAUGCAUGAAUUGGUUUUUGUAUGAAUUAUUUUCAUUCCAUUCAGAUGUUUGUCACCCACUUUUUAAGUCCCAUGGAUAAGGAUGAAGUUUGGUUCAAGUUUGAAUUUAAAUUUAAUUUGAAUCGGUGAUGAGGAUAAACUAUCAUUUGAACUUGAAGCAAACCACCUCAUCUUAUCCUUAUCUUUCAUGGGAGGCCACCUUAAGAAGGAAUGAUUUUUU